UGCAAGUCGAACGGCAGCACGGGGGCAACCCUGGUGGCGAGUGGCGAACGGGUGAGUAAUACAUCGGAACGUGUCCUGGAGUGGGGGAUAGCCCGGCGAAAGCCGGAUUAAUACCGCAUACGCUCUGAGGAGGAAAGCGGGGGAUCUUUCGGGACCUCGCGCUCAAGGGGCGGCCGAUGGCAGAUUAGCUAGUUGGUGGGGUAAAGGCCUACCAAGGCGACGAUCUGUAGCUGGUCUGAGAGGACGACCAGCCACACUGGGACUGAGACACGGCCCAGACUCCUACGGGAGGCAGCAGUGGGGAAUUUUGGACAAUGGGGGAAACCCUGAUCCAGCAAUGCCGCGUGUGUGAAGAAGGCCUUCGGGUUGUAAAGCACUUUUGUCCGGAAAGAAAACCUCUGGGUUAAUACCCUGGGGGGAUGACGGUACCGGAAGAAUAAGCACCGGCUAACUACGUGCCAGCAGCCGCGGUAAUACGUAGGGUGCAAGCGUUAAUCGGAAUUACUGGGCGUAAAGCGUGCGCAGGCGGUCCGCUAAGACAGAUGUGAAAUCCCCGGGCUUAACCUGGGAACUGCAUUUGUGACUGGCGGGCUAGAGUAUGGCAGAGGGGGGUAGAAUUCCACGUGUAGCAGUGAAAUGCGUAGAGAUGUGGAGGAAUACCGAUGGCGAAGGCAGCCCCCUGGGCCAAUACUGACGCUCAUGCACGAAAGCGUGGGGAGCAAACAGGAUUAGAUACCCUGGUAGUCCACGCCCUAAACGAUGUCAACUAGUUGUCGGGUCUUCAUUGACUUGGUAACGUAGCUAACGCGUGAAGUUGACCGCCUGGGGAGUACGGUCGCAAGAUUAAAACUCAAAGGAAUUGACGGGGACCCGCACAAGCGGUGGAUGAUGUGGAUUAAUUCGAUGCAACGCGAAAAACCUUACCUACCCUUGACAUGUAUGGAAGUCUGCCGAGA
rnacentral:rRNA from 1 species